rnacentral:hammerhead_ribozyme from 1 species
AUCAAGCCGACGAGUGCUAAAUAGGACGAAACGCACGUCCUAGAU